CCUGACAUGGAUUAUAACUGUACUUGAUGGAGCACAGUUAUAAUAGCUGCUUUAGAGUCCUUGAUAAUUCCCACAUCUGAGUCAUCUCAAGUUAUUUUUGGCAGAUUUUGAUGGAUGUACAUUGAUGGAUAGCCACGUGGAUCCAGAAAAUAAAGACUUCUACUCUGCAUUUGACUAAAGCAGAAGAUAUGCAAGGAAGCUCAGUCUCUCAAUUGAGUGGAUUCUGAAAUUUAUCCUGUUGUCUUCAGCUACUAAGGCUAAUUUGCAAAUCACACUGUGCACGGAAUGUGUGUGUCCCACCCCUGCAGUACUUCAGCAUUCUGAGGUAACAAGACAGUUGGCUUACUGCAUCUUAGAAAGGCUUAUUGAUUUUGUUAUUGCUACAACUAUCAUGGAAGCAGAGGCAGCAAUUUCUCAAGCCUAGUUCCAAAAGGAUUAAACCUGACAAAGAUUUAUAAACAACCUGUUCAGUGGCUGCUGAUUAACUCCCCAAGAUUGAUGUACUGAAGAAGGAUGACCUCCCCUUGACACCAAUGCUACUAGUCAAUAACGACCACUGUGACUCAGAACAAAUUCUCUG
rnacentral:lncRNA from 1 species